GACGAACGCUGGCGGCGUGCUUAACACAUGCAAGUCGAACGGUAAGGCCCUUCGGGGUACACGAGUGGCGAACGGGUGAGUAACACGUGGGUGAUCUGCCCUGCACUUCGGGAUAAGCCUGGGAAACUGGGUCUAAUACCGGAUAGGACUCCUGGCUUCAUGGUUGGGGGUGGAAAGCUUUUGCGGUGUGGGAUGGGCCCGCGGCCUAUCAGCUUGUUGGUGGGGUAAUGGCCUACCAAGGCGACGACGGUAGCCGGCCUGGGAGGGUGACCGGUCACACUGGGACUGAGAUACGGCCCAGACUCCUACGGGAGGCAGCAGUGGGGAAUAUUGCACAAUGGGCGCAAGCCUGAUGCAGCGACGCCGCGUGAGGGAUGACGGCCUUCGGGUUGUAAACCUCUUUCAGCUAUGACGAAGCGCAAGUGACGGUAGUAGCAGAAGAAGGACCGGCCAACUACGUGCCAGCCGCCGCGGUAA
rnacentral:rRNA from 1 species